AACGAGCCUGGAGGACGAACCAACACAAAAACCUUCAAGGUUAAAAUGAACAAUAAGUUACAAGUAACUUAUUCAGGCUGAACUGCUGGAGCUGGAGCAGCUGUGAUGGUCACCCUGAACAUGGAGGCAGUACAUAGUAAACGUAGGACACUGUAUGUACGUAGUACAUGUACGCUGUAAAACAUGGUCUACAUCAUCCUCGUCUCCCCCAGCCUCGGUUUGUUUCCUCUCUCCUUGUCACCUUGGCUCCUUCUCUGUCUCCUUGUCUCCUCUGUCCUCAGAGGUGCUGACCUGAACCACGGCAGCUGAUUCCCAGUAUGUUGGAGGUUUUCAAAGGAUUCUGGGGGAUUUCGUGGAUCCGGAUUUUGAUGUUCUCCAGAUAACGCAGGCUCUUAAGGAGGUGGAUUAUUUCUCCCUGGAUGUGGACUUGUAAGGCAUCCUGCGCCUCAGGCUGCUGCCUCUGGCUAUAUAUGACGAGCUUCACCGUUUGACCUGAGGACCAUCGUGCGAAACACAUGUGACACCUGAGUGUCGUCUGAAACCACAUCUCUCCAUGUUUGGUUUCUUGCAUUGCAGACCUUCCCUUUUUAAAACCAUGUGUUUACUGGAAUGGAGGAGCCACAUGGCGUAAAGGACAUAAGCUUGGACCACACAUGGGUUUGGACCAUGCAGCUUGAUGACCACGCUCUACAGCAGCACUGGGACGGACAAUGGGCUCGAGCCCACGUGGGUUCCACCCCCAUCCCUGACAGAAGGAGGGACAGCCUUCGUCUCUGCAAACGGUUUCCACAGCUGAGCAUAUUGGUUGGAGCCAAAUGCUGAUGCACUGUUUUCCUGCUCCAGGCACAAGGAAACAGUGGCUCGUGAACAAAGAUAUGAGGCCACAGAGCUUCUGGGCCUUUCGGCAAAACUAAAAUCUGAAGCGUUAAACAAUUUAAGAUAAAACCUUUAGGAGGACGCUGGAGACGUCUAGAUGCUCUCAGAGCCCAGACCUCAGUCAAUCUGUCUUCAUGCUCAGAGACACAGGAUCAGAUUUAUUACAUGGUGGAAACAUAAUGUGUGAUGAUGAGCUGCUCCAGACAGAUCUAACUGUCGCCAGUACCUGCCAGGAACUGGUGGGAUUAAAUGUAGUCUACUCACAUACCGAUAGGCAGAACCAAGAAGAACGGCAGCCAGCACAGGAUGAAC